rnacentral:rRNA from 1 species
AUUGAACGCUGGCGGCAGGCCUAACACAUGCAAGUCGAGCGAGCGGCGGACGGGUGAGUAAUGUCUGGGUAUCUGCCCGAUGGAGGGGGAUAACUACUGGAAACGGUAGCUAAUACCGCAUACUAUCAGAUGUGCCCAUAUGGGAUUGGCUAGUAGGUGGGGUAAUGGCUCACCUAGGCGACGAUCCCUAGCUGGUCUGAGAGGAUGACCAGGAACACUGGAACUGAGACACGGACCAGACUCCUACGGGAGGCAGCAGUGGGGAAUAUUGCACAAUGGGCGCAAGCCUGAUGCAGCCAUGCCGCGUGUAUGAAGAAGGCCUUAGGGUUGUAAAGCACUUUCAGCGGGGAGGCGUUACUCGCAGAAGAAGCACCGGCUAACUCCGUGCCAGCAGCCGCGGUAAUAC